GCCAAUUGCGAUCACAUGGUGUA
rnacentral:siRNA from 1 species